UGAUCUUCCCAAAUGUUAAUUUUGCUUAUUUUUCCACAAUUUUCCCAUAAAUAUUAUUUUCAUUAAUUCUUUUGUUCCCCUUUUAUAUUUUUACAAAUUUUUUCUUUGUAUUUCAUUCUUUUUCCUCUCUCAUUUAUGUUCCCUCUGAUGCCUUAAGAGAGGCAAAGUCACAAGAUUCAUAGGGCCACUAGUACAUGGUAGCUACUUGUACCAACUCAUAGAAGAAAAAGAAAAGUCGAUCGGUGUUUAUAGAGUGAAUGCGUAGCCUGCUAAGCCUGUAAUUCUAUUCGAUUAUUGAGUGAGA
rnacentral:misc_RNA from 1 species